CCUGGUCACGUGACCGAGGCACAGAUCAGCUGAUGCGCGAGUGUUUGAAGCCGCGCGGCGAGGUAGCGAAGCAGAGGUGACAGCGGCGGGCUCUCGGACCCAAGCUGCCCGCGGCCGUGCCCGCUGGCGUCCCGCGAUCGCGGCCCAGCAUGGCAGCCCCAGUGGGCCGGUGCGGCUCAGAGACCGAGCGGCUGUUGACCCCCAACCCUGGGUAUGGUACCCAGGCGGGGGCUUCACUGGCCCCUCCAACACCCCCGGAAGAGGAAGACCUUCGCCGUCGCCUCAAGUACUUUUUCAUGAGUCCCUGUGACAAGUUUCGGGCCAAGGGCCGCAAGCCCUGCAAGUUGAUGCUGCAGGUGGUCAAGAUCCUGGUGGUCACUGUGCAGCUCAUUCUGUUUGGGCUCAGCAAUCAGUUAGCAGUGACAUUCCGAGAAGAGAACACUAUUGCCUUCCGACACCUCUUCCUGCGGGGCUACUCAGAUGGGGCAGAUGACACCUUCGCUGCCUACACACGGGAGCAGCUUUAUGAAGCCAUCUUCCAUGCUGUGGACCAGUACCUGAUGCUGCCUGACGUGUCCCUGGGCCGGUAUGCUUAUGUCCGGGGUGGGGGUGGGCCUUCCGUGAAUGGCUCGGCAUUGGCUCUCUGUCAGCAGUACUACCGCCAUGGCCAUGUGGACCCAGCCAAUGACACCUUUGACAUUGACCCAAUGGUGGAAACUGAGUGCAUUGGGGUGGACCCUCCUGAGCGACCUCCCCCACCCCCCCGUGAUGAUCUCGCUUUCUACGUUGGCAGCUCCAGUUACAAGAACCUCACUCUCAAAUUCCACAAGCUGAUCAACGUCACCAUCCACUUCCAGCUGAAGACCAUCAAUCUCCAGAGCCUUAUCAACAAUGAGAUCCCAGACUGCUACACUUUCAGUGUCCUGAUCAUGUUUGACAAUAAAGCACACAGUGGGCGUGUCCCCAUCAGCCUGGAGACCCGGGCCCACAUCCAGGAGUGUAAGCACCCCAGUGUCUUCAGGCACGGAGACAAUAGCUUCCGGCUCCUGUUUGACAUGGUGGUCAUCCUUACCUGCUCAUUGUCUUUCCUGCUGUGUGCCCGCUCACUGCUCCGUGGCUUCCUGCUGCAGAAUGAAUUUGUCGCAUUCAUGUGGCGGCAGCGGGGAAGGGUGAUCAGCCUGUGGGAACGGCUGGAAUUUGUCAAUGGCUGGUAUAUCCUGCUGGUCACCAGUGAUGUGCUCACCAUCUCAGGCACCAUCAUGAAGAUUGGAAUCGAGGCCAAGAACCUGGCGAGUUAUGAUGUCUGCAGCAUCCUUCUGGGCACCUCGACACUGCUCGUCUGGGUGGGCGUCAUCCGCUAUCUGACCUUCUUCCACAAGUACAAUAUUCUUAUUGCCACACUUCGGGUGGCCCUACCCAGCGUCAUGCGCUUCUGCUGCUGUGUGGCUGUCAUCUACCUGGGCUAUUGCUUCUGCGGCUGGAUCGUGCUGGGGCCCUAUCAUGUGAAGUUCCGCUCACUGUCCAUGGUAUCCGAAUGCCUGUUCUCACUCAUCAAUGGGGACGACAUGUUCGUGACGUUUGCAGCGAUGCAGGCGCAGCAGGGCCACAGCAGCCUGGUCUGGCUCUUCUCCCAGAUCUACCUCUAUUCCUUCAUCAGCCUCUUCAUCUACAUGGUGCUGAGCCUGUUCAUUGCACUCAUCACCGGCGCCUAUGACACCAUCAAGGUCAGCCACAUGGUGCCACUUGUUCCCUCCCACCUGUCUCCCAGGGUUCCCACACACAGACAUGCACAGCCCUGAGCUUGGACUCCAGGUCUGUUGGCAUCAGCUAUGACAGGGUCUUGGGGACACAACAGGGUAAGCAGAGAAGACCUGGGGAGAAAAUAUGGGAGACCCUGCAAAACCAAAAAGAAUGUGGCCUGGAACAGUAGUUUUCGUACAGCCUGCAAGGCUCAGGGGAGAGAAAGGAGAUGGAGUGAGAUGUGGGGGUCACAAGUAGACAGGACUUUUUCAGCAAACAUAUCCCAGGGCCUGCUGUGGACCAGGCUUUGUGCAAGGCUCUGGGCAUUAAGGGAAAUUGAGUGUAUGUGGUCUGUCCGAAGCCUGAGGGUGAGAGGGAUGAUAUAGGAAUGGACGUCCCAUGACCAAUGACCAACUGUUGAGAGGUAUGAAGGAAGAGUGGAAGGGUACAGAGCAGAUCCCUGCUUUAGACUGGUAUUAAGACGGGUACAGGAAACUUUUUGGAAUGUUCUGUCCAUUUUAAUUCUAGACACAUGUGACUUUUUACAUUUUAAUUUUGAUUUUAAUUCAAACAAAAUGUAAUUCCAAAUUCAGUUCCUAACUUGCACCAUCCACAUAUUGAGUGCUCAAAAGCCAGUGUGGCUAGUGGCUACCAUAUUGGACAAUAGAGAGUUCCAGAUUGAGGAAAUGGGAACCUGACAGAAAGAACAGCCAAGGCAAAUGCUUAGUAUCCAGAAAGGACUUAAAGGAGGAGGCUCCUUGAGGUUGAGAGGAGAGAAGGUUCUGCUGGAAGGUUCUUCUGCAUCCUAUGUUAGAGGCAGAUGUGUGUGCCUCCUUCCCCCAUGAAUGGUUUCAAGUGUUGCCACAGAAAUGUUCCUGUCACUCAGGCCCUCAGAGCCACUUUGAAUCUUUCUCUAGCACUGUGAUGUCGCACACAUGCAGCAGCUCAGGUCGUGCACCAGAUGAUACAGUUAACCAAGUGCACAGGUUGUGUCAGGCCUGGCUGUAGGUGCUUAGAGCACCAGGCCGAUGAAGAAGCAGUGUGUGUCCAUGCUCAGAAGUCAGAGAGGGUCUCCAUGUGGAAGCAAACAUGAGGAAUGACAGCACCCUGAUGGAGCAGGUGCAGAGAAGAGUGAGCUCCAGGCCUACAUUGCGCAGUGCCAGGACAGCCCUACCUCUGGCAAGUUCCGCCGCGGUAGCGGCUCUACUUGCAGCCUCCUCUGCUGUUGUGGCA